CCUACGGGAGGCAGCAGUGGGGAAUAUUGGACAAUGGGGGGAACCCUGAUCCAGCGACGCCGCGUGAGUGAAGAAGUAUCUCGGUAUGUAAAGCUCUAUCAGCAGGGAAGAAAAUGACGGUACCUGACUAAGAAGCCCCGGCUAACUACGUGCCAGCAGCCGCCGUAAUACGUAGGGGGCAAGCGUUAUCCGGAUUUACUGGGUGUAAUGGGAGCGUAGACGGUGAUGCAAGUCUGGUGUGAAAGGUUGGGGCCCAACCCCGGAACUGCAUUGGAAACUGGUGAACUGGAGUGCAGGAGAGGUAAGGGGAAUUCCUAGUGUAGCGGUGAAAUGCGUAGAUAUUAGGAGGAACACCAGUGGCGAAGGCGGCUUACUGGACUGUAACUGACGUUGAGGCUCGAAAGCGUGGGGAGCAAACAGGAUUAGAUACCCCAGUAGUC
rnacentral:rRNA from 1 species